rnacentral:rRNA from 1 species
UAGGGAAUCUUCCGCAAUUGGACGCAAGUCUGACGGAGCAACGCCGCGUGAGUGAAGAAGGUUUUCGGAUCGUAAAACUCUGUUGUUAGAGAAGAACAAGUGCUAGAGUAACUGUUAGCGCCUUGACGGUAUCUAACCAGAAAGCCACGGCUAACUACGUGCCAGCAGCCGCGGUAAUACGUAGGUGGCAAGCGUUGUCCGGAUUUAUUGGGCGUAAAGCGAGCGCAGGCGGUUCCUUAAGUCUGAUGUGAAAGCCCCCGGCUCAACCGGGGAGGGUCAUUGGAAACUGGGGAACUUGAGUGCAGAAGAGGAGAGUGGAAUUCCAUGUGUAGCGGUGAAAUGCGUAGAUAUAUGGAGGAACACCAGUGGCGAAGGCGACUCUCUGGUCUGUAACUGACGCUGAGGCUCGAAAGCGUGGGUAGCAAACAGGAUUAGAUACCCUGGUAGUCCACGCCGUAAACGAUGAGUGCUAAGUGUUGGAGGGUUUCCGCCCUUCAGUGCUGCAGUUAACGCAUUAAGCACUCCGCCUGGGGAGUACGACCGCAAGGUUG